AACGAACGCUGGCGGCGUGCUUAACACAUGCAAGUCGAACGGGUUCAUAAUGAGUAGCAAUACUUGAUAUGAAUUAGUGGCGGACGGGUGAGUAACACGUAGGUAACCUACCCUUGAGCGGGGGACAACCCAGGGAAACUUGGGCUAAUACCCCAUAAGACCACGGGGUGUGAAUCUUGUGGUAAAAGUAGCGAUACGCUCAUGGACGGGCCUGCGGCCUAUCAGGUAGUUGGUGAGGUAACGGCCCACCAAGCCAAAGACGGGUAGCCGGGCUGAGAGGUUGAACGGCCACACUGGAACUGAGACACGGUCCAGACUCCUACGGGAGGCAGCAGUGGGGAAUAUUGCACAAUGGGGGAAACCCUGAUGCAGCGACGCCGCGUGGAGGAUGAAGGUCUUCGGGUUGUAAACUCCUUUUAUUGGGAAAGAUGAUGACGGUACCCAAUGAAUAAGCCACGGCUAACUCUGUGUCAGCAGCCGCGGUAAGACAGAGGUGGCGAGCGCUGUUCGGAAUUACUGGGCUUAAAGGGCGAGUAGGCGGUGGGACAAGUCUGAUGUGGAAUCUUAGGGCUUAACCCUAAAACUGCAUUAGAAACCGUUUUACUUGAGUCAGUGAGGGGAGGGCGGAAUUCCC
rnacentral:rRNA from 1 species